CAGACUGUGAUCCGGAGAUGUCUGAAUGGGGGAACCCAGCCAUCAUAAGAUGGUUAUCUUACACUGAAUACAUAGGUGUAAGAGGCGAACCAGGGGAACUGAAACAUCUAAGUACCCUGAGGAAAAGAAAUCAACCGAGAUUCCCUUAGUAGUGGCGAGCGAACGGGGACCAGCCCUUAAGUUGUAUUGAGAUUAGCGGAACGCUCUGGAAAGUGCGGCCAUAGUGGGUGAUAGCCCUGUACGCGAAAAUCCCUUUGCAAUGAAAUCGAGUAGGACGGGGCACGAGAAACCUUGUCUGAAUAUGGGGGGACCAUCCUCCAAGGCUAAAUACUACUGACUGACCGAUAGUGAACCAGUACCGUGAGGGAAAGGCGAAAAGAACCGCGGAGAGCGGAGUGAAAUAGAUCCUGAAACCGUAUGCGUACAAGCAGUGGGAGCCCACUUUGUUGGGUGACUGCGUACCUUUUGUAUAAUGGGUCAGCGACUUAUUUUCAGUGGCGAGCUUAACCGAAUAGGGGAGGCGUAGCGAAAGCGAGUCUUAAUAGGGCGUCUAGUCGCUGGGAAUAGACCCGAAACCGGGCGAUCUAUCCAUGGGCAGGUUGAAGGUUGGGUAACACUAACUGGAGGACCGAACCGACUACCGUUGAAAAGUUAGCGGAUGACCUGUGGAUCGGAGUGAAAGGCUAAUCAAGCUCGGAGAUAGCUGGUUCUCCUCGAAAGCUAUUUAGGUAGCGCCUCAUGUAUCACUGUAGGGGGUAGAGCACUGUUUCGGCUAGGGGGUCAUCCCGACUUACCAAACCGAUGCAAACUCCGAAUACCUACAAGUGCCGAGCAUGGGAGACACACGGCGGGUGCUAACGUCCGUCGUGAAAAGGGAAACAACCCAGACCGUCAGCUAAGGUCCCAAAGUCAUGGUUAAGUGGGAAACGAUGUGGGAAGGCUUAGACAGCUAGGAGGUUGGCUUAGAAGCAGCCACCCUUUAAAGAAAGCGUAAUAGCUCACUAGUCGAGUCGGCCUGCGCGGAAGAUGUAACGGGGCUCAAACCAUGCACCGAAGCUACGGGUAUCAUCUUAUGAUGAUGCGGUAGAGGAGCGUUCUGUAAGCCUGUGAAGGUGAGUUGAGAAGCUUGCUGGAGGUAUCAGAAGUGCGAAUGCUGACAUGAGUAACGACAAUGGGUGUGAAAAACACCCACGCCGAAAGACCAAGGUUUCCUGCGCAACGUUAAUCGACGCAGGGUUAGUCGGUCCCUAAGGCGAGGCUGAAAAGCGUAGUCGAUGGAAAACAGGUUAAUAUUCCUGUACUUCUGGUUAUUGCGAUGGAGGGACGGAGAAGGCUAGGCCAGCCUGGCGUUGGUAGUCCAGGUUUAAGGUGGUAGGCUGAGAUCUUAGGUAAAUCCGGGAUCUUAAGGCCGAGAGCUGAUGACGAGUGUUCUUUUAGAACAUGAAGUGGUUGAUGCCAUGCUUCCAAGAAAAGCUUCUAAGCUUCAGGUAACCAGGAACCGUACCCCAAACCGACACAGGUGGUUGGGUAGAGAAUACCAAGGCGCUUGAGAGAACUCGGGUGAAGGAACUAGGCAAAAUGGCACCGUAACUUCGGGAGAAGGUGCGCCGGUGAGGGUGAAGCAUUUACUGCGUAAGCCCACGCCGGUCGAAGAUACCAGGCCGCUGCGACUGUUUAUUAAAAACACAGCACUCUGCAAACACGAAAGUGGACGUAUAGGGUGUGACGCCUGCCCGGUGCCGGAAGGUUAAUUGAUGGGGUUAGCGCAAGCGAAGCUCUUGAUCGAAGCCCCGGUAAACGGCGGCCGUAACUAUAACGGUCCUAAGGUAGCGAAAUUCCUUGUCGGGUAAGUUCCGACCUGCACGAAUGGCGUAACGAUGGCGGCGCUGUCUCCACCCGAGACUCAGUGAAAUUGAAAUCGCUGUGAAGAUGCAGUGUAUCCGCGGCUAGACGGAAAGACCCCGUGAACCUUUACUAUAGCUUUGCACUGGACUUUGAAUUUGCUUGUGUAGGAUAGGUGGGAGGCUUUGAAGCGUGGACGCCAGUCUGCGUGGAGCCAACCUUGAAAUACCACCCUGGCAACUUUGAGGUUCUAACUCAGGUCCGUUAUCCGGAUCGAGGACAGUGUAUGGUGGGUAGUUUGACUGGGGCGGUCUCCUCCUAAAGAGUAACGGAGGAGUACGAAGGUGCGCUCAGACCGGUCGGAAAUCGGUCGUAGAGUAUAAAGGCAAAAGCGCGCUUGACUGCGAGACAGACACGUCGAGCAGGUACGAAAGUAGGUCUUAGUGAUCCGGUGGUUCUGUAUGGAAGGGCCAUCGCUCAACGGAUAAAAGGUACUCCGGGGAUAACAGGCUGAUACCGCCCAAGAGUUCAUAUCGACGGCGGUGUUUGGCACCUCGAUGUCGGCUCAUCACAUCCUGGGGCUGAAGCCGGUCCCAAGGGUAUGGCUGUUCGCCAUUUAAAGUGGUACGCGAGCUGGGUUUAGAACGUCGUGAGACAGUUCGGUCCCUAUCUGCCGUGGACGUUUGAGAUUUGAGAGGGGCUGCUCCUAGUACGAGAGGACCGGAGUGGACGAACCUCUGGUGUUCCGGUUGUCACGCCAGUGGCAUUGCCGGGUAGCUAUGUUCGGAAAAGAUAACCGCUGAAAGCAUCUAAGCGGGAAACUUGCCUCAAGAUGAGAUCUCACUGGAACCUUGAGUUCCCUGAAGGGCCGUCGAAGACUACGACGUUGAUAGGUUGGGUGUGUAAGCGCUGUGAGGCGUUGAGCUAACCAAUACUAAUUGCCCGUGAGGCUUGACCAU
rnacentral:rRNA from 1 species